UAGUUAUCACAGCCUGUGAGCCCAAGCCACUUCUUCUUCCUUGUAGCUGUAUGAAAUUGUAGGAAAACAUUCCCAUGUGUAUGGAGCACAGGGGUUCAAGAAAAUGGACUUCCUUUACAAGUCGCUCGUGGCAAAUUCCUGCAGGAAAGUUAUGGCAAGGGGCAUUUACUUUAUCUGUUUAUUAGAAGACUACCUUGUGGGAUUUGAGGUACAAGUCCCAGAUCCAAGCAACAUGGAGAAAUUUGUUUGCCAAUAUACUAUGGAUGGCAAGAGGUUCCCCGGGUGACCCAUUAAGGCCCAAGGAACCGCCAAAGAAGACCACAACUCCCACGACGACCACACGGACGACCACGACGCCCACGACGACCACACGGACGCCCACGACGCCCACGAUGACCACACGGACGACCAUGACGACCACACGGACCACCACGACGCCCACGAUGACCACACGGACGACCACAAGGAUGACAAAAACAACCACACAGACAACCACAACAACCACACGGACAACCACAACGCCCACGACGACCACACGGACGACUACAACGCCCACGACGACCACACGGACGACUACAACAACCACGACACAGAUGACCACAGUGUCCACGGUUGUCACACAGGAGACAACUGAGACCACAGUUGUCAUACCAGAGACCACAGCGCACGUGGUUGUCACAGAAAAGCCUAUCCUUGACAACUCUUUCCUGUACCCAGUGCUCGUCCCAACCGUGCUCAUUAUCCCAGUGGUGAUCUGCUGCAUCUGUUGCUGCAUGAAUACCAACAACGAGCCACGACCACCAGAGAAAAUAGAAAUGGAGUCAGAGACCUGUAUACACACAUGCACCACAGUGAUUGUCCCUUGUUGUUCGUACCAGGAAGACAACAUGAGACGCCUAGAGGGCAAACUGGAUACCUUGUGUGACUUUGUUCAAAG
rnacentral:lncRNA from 1 species